rnacentral:rRNA from 1 species
CACGUAGAGUGCGAGCGUUGUCCGGAAUUAUUGGGCGUAAAGAGCUCGUAGGCGGUGUGUCGCGUCGGCCGUGAAAACCUGCAGCUUAACUGUGGGCUUGCGGUCGAUACGGGCAUCACUGGAGUUCGGCAGGGGAGACUGGAAUUCCUGGUGUAGCGGUGAAAUGCGCAGAUAUCAGGAGGAACACCGGUGGCGAAGGCGGGUCUCUGGGCCGAUACUGACGCUGAGGAGCGAAAGCGUGGGGAGCGAACAGG